GCGUAAAGAGCUCGUAGGUGGUUUGUCGCGUUGUUCGUGAAAUCUCACGGCUUAACUGUGAGCGUGCGGGCGAUACGGGCAGACUUGAGUACUGCAGGGGAGACUGGAAUUCCUGGUGUAGCGGUGGAAUGCGCAGAUAUCAGGAGGAACACCGGUGGCGAAGGCGGGUCUCUGGGCAGUAACUGACGCUGAGGAGCGAAAGCGUGGGGAGCGAACAGGAUUAGAUACCCUGGUAGUCCACGCCGUAAACGGUGGGUACUAGGUGUGGGUUUCCUUCCUUGGGAUCCGUGCCGUAGCUAACGCAUUAAGUACCCCGCCUGGGGAGUACGGCCGCGAGGCUAAAACUCAAAGAGAUUGACGGGGGCCCGCACAAGCGGCGGAGCAUGUGGAUUAAUUCGAUGCAACGCGAAGAACCUUACCUGGGUUUGACAUGCACAGGACGCCGGCAGAGAUGUCGGUUCCCUUGUGGCCUGUGUGCAGGUGGUGCAUGGCUGUCGUCAGCUCGUGUCGUGAGAUGUUGGGUUAAGUCCCGCAACGAGCGCAACCCUUGUCUCAUGUUGCCAGCGGGUAAUGCCGGGGACUCGUGAGAGACUGCCGGGGUCAACCUCGGAGGAAGGUGGGGAUGACGUCAAGUCAUCAUGCCCCUUAUGUCCAGGGCUUCACACAUGCUACAAUGGCCGGUACAAAGGGCUGCGAUGCCGCGAGGUUAAGCGAAUCCUUUUAAAGCCGGUCUCAGUUCGGAUCGGGGUCUGCAACUCGACCCCGUGAAGUCGGAGUCGCUAGU
rnacentral:rRNA from 1 species